UGACAGUCACCACAAAGAUCCAACUAUCAUAUUAUACUUCUACUGGGGGGGAAAAAAAGGAAAAUAAUGUGUUUGAUAUUAAACCGGUAGAUUUAUAAAGACCUUUUAUAACAACAUAAAAUCAUGGCUGUAAGAGCAGUAAUCUUGUGAAAUGUCAGAACUGUGGAGAUCAGAAUUUCCCCGAGGCCUGGGUACAGCGACAACUCAAUGAGAUCCAGAGUGCUCGAACUUCAGCUGAGGUGGGGGGAGGGUGACCCACGUCCAGUCUCCUCUGAGCGGAGCCUCUUUUUCGAGCAGCUGGCACCGCGCUGACUACACUUCCCAGAGUGCCCGGGGUCUGGAAGAAAGCCUUGGAAGCAGACGGCGUGGUUUCCUUUGGAGUAUGAGGGGUCUGUGAAGGCUCCGAACCGGACGACCUCUGCACUUCGGGCUGCUCUGGCGUUCUGUACAGCAUGACCACCGAGGGCUGGGACAGGCUGGGCAGCUCGCUCUACCUGUGACCAUCAUCAGCCUGACUCAGUGCU